rnacentral:lncRNA from 1 species
ACAGCCGAUUUGAUAUGGAAAAGCCCUCAUUUCGUCAACGCUCUUUGCGAACGUGAACUCGAUCUUCGAGGAAAUAAGAUUCCUGAGAUAGAGAAUUUGGGCGCUACUGAGGGGCGGAUUUCUUUGCUUCAAGGUGAAGUAUCCACAAUCGGAUCUGAUUUGGAGGCACUCAAGGUUUGGGCUUCUGGAUUCUCUGUUGCUUUUUGAAUAGCUAUGCAGGUCACCUAAAUAUCACAAACGUACAUCUCCAAAAUGAGGUCGUGAAGCAGGCUAUUAUGGAUCCAGCUCCUGACCCGCUGAUCCGUGACUCGUGAACAACUCGAUUAGCCCAACACAAGCCCCUUCAACAACUGAUUUACAACAUAUUCAGUAUGUACAAUGGAGAUAGUCUGCAUAUUACAUUAAUUUAGACCCUUUGCAUUGUUGCUAUUCAAAGUGACAAUCGAGAAGAGUUUCCUACUAUACGUGAUCAGGGUUUGGAGAAGACCAUGGUUGAAUUGAUGGGGGCACAAGUUUCGAAACCGUUGAUUGCAACCAAGAUUACUCAUCUUAUAUGCUACAAAUUUGAAGGUGUGUUGUAUUAACUUUAAUUCACUUAUGCAUUUUCUCUAGGUGGCUUUUUUACCGAACAAGAUAUUAAGAGCCUACCAUAUUUACAGGUGAUGGCAACUCCGACAACGAAGAGCUUAAAGUGAUGUCAAAAGAAGUUGAGUAUAGUCAGUUGGCUGAUGUAGCGACAAUAAGUAGUAAGUGCUGGGAACUAUGAAGUGGAAGUAUGCCUACUAAGAAAAUGUUAACAGAUGAUUAUUUAACUCGCAUGAAGAUUGUGAAAGAGAUUCAUGAACACAAUGAAGUUUUGAGUUUUUAUUCAUGCACUUAUUAGUUUAUUUGGGUUAUAUGUUUGGUCAUUAGAUUUAGAUUGACACUUAUUAGACAUUUAGAAUCUUUGUAAGAUUGAUUGAACUUUUAAUUGAAGUGAUUAUU